rnacentral:rRNA from 1 species
GAUGAACGCUAGCGGCAGGCUUAACACAUGCAAGUCGAGGGGUAUAGGUUUUCGGACCUAGAGACCGGCGCACGGGUGCGUAACGCGUAUGCAAUCUACCUUUCACAGAGGGAUAGCCCAGAGAAAUUUGGAUUAAUACCUCAUAGUAUAGCAGUUUCGCAUGAAACCACUAUUAAAGUUCCAACGGUGAAAGAUGAGCAUGCGUCCCAUUAGCUAGAUGGUAAGGUAACGCCUUACCAUGGCUACGAUGGGUAGGGGUCCUGAGAGGGAGAUCCCCCACACUGGUACUGAGACACGGACCAGACUCCUACGUGAGGCAGCAGUGAGGAAUAUUGGUCAAUGGACGCAAGUCUGAACCAGCCAUGCCGCGUGCAGGAUGACGGUCCUAUGGAUUGUAAACUGCUUUUGUACGAGAAGAAACAUUCCGACGUGUCGGAACUUGACGGUAUCGUAAGAAUAAGGAUCGGCUAACUCCGUGCCAGCCGCCGCCGUAACAC